rnacentral:rRNA from 1 species
UACGGGGGGGGCAAGCGUUGUUCGGAAUUACUGGGCGUAAAGGGCUCGUAGGCGGCCAACUAAGUCGGAUAUGAAAUCCCCAGGCUUAACCUGGGAACUGCAUCCGAUACUGGAUGGCUUGAAUCCGGGAGAGGGAUGCAGAAUUCCAGGUGUAGCGGUGAAAUGCGUAGAUAUCGGGAAGAACACCAGUGGCGAAGGCGGCUUCCUGGCCUGUUCUUGACGCUGAGGCGCGAAAGCUAGGGGAGCAAACGGG